GUCAAGGCUCCAGCUCCUUGUGGUUUUGCAGCCGGGCUGGGCUGUAGCUCAGAGCUGCCUGGGUCUCUCCAGCCCGAUGUCUGGAACAGCCUGCCUGUCGAUCUGCGGAAAGAGCCUGGAACAGAUGACCUCUCAGGCUUCACCUGCGCACUGCGCACCCGGCGGCAGCGACCGCACUUCCGUACGGGGACACAGUGUCGCCAAGCCCCCAGCCCUGGGCCCGCGGCUGCCUCCCUGCAAAGAUGUGAGUGGCCAAUGAGCUCUAAACAGAAGCUUUUGGAUGGGGCCUCCAGUAAACAAGACUUAUUUAGCCUGCAGACACCCCUUGUCCCUGCUUGUUCCUUUUUCUUCCUGCCUGGAACAUGGACAUGAUGACUGGAGCUGUGGCAGCCAUCUUGGAACCAUGAAGGAAAAGUCAAGAAAAUUAUAAAAACUUUGGCCCUGGCAUACUUGAGCUUCUACACCAGGGGUUGGCAAACUAUGGCCCGUGAGCCAAAUCUGGC
rnacentral:lncRNA from 1 species